rnacentral:rRNA from 1 species
UACGGAGGAUCCGAGCGUUAUCCGGAUUUAUUGGGUUUAAAGGGUGCGUAGGCGGACUGGUAAGUCAGUGGUGAAAUGCUGCAGCUCAACUGUAGAAUUGCCAUUGAUACUGUCAGUCUUGAGUACAGAUGAGGUAGGCGGAAUGUGGUGUGUAGCGGUGAAAUGCUUAGAUAUACCACAGAACACCGAUUGCGAAGGCAGCUUACUAAACUGACACUGACGCUGAAGCACGAAAGCGUGGGUAUCAAACAGGAUUAGAUACCCUGGUAGUCCACGCUGUAAACGAUGAUUACUGGUUGUUUGCGAUAUAUAGCAAGUGACUGAGCGAAAGCAUUAAGUAAUCCACCUGGGGAGUACGUCGGCAACGAUGAA